rnacentral:tRNA from 1 species
GGUCACGUAGCGGAGUGGUUACCGCGAUGCUCUUGUGAGUUACCUCGACCCCGUUUGUCACCAAAGUGUUUGUCGCAUACUAACACACGCAAUUAGAUACCUCCAAGUUAUUGGAAGUUAUGCAUAGGUCCUGGGUUCGACCCCCAGCGCGACCA